GGGAGAAGAAGGUGAGACAACAUUUGUUAUUG
rnacentral:sRNA from 1 species